UACAGAGGUCCCAAGCGUUGUUCGGAUUCACUGGGCGUAAAGCGCGCGUAGGCGGCCGGUUAAGUCUGACGUGAAAUCUCCGAGCCUAACUCGGAAACUGCAUCGGAAACUAUCCGGCUCGAGGUUUGGAGGGGGGACUGGAAUACUUGGUGUAGCAGUGAAAUGCGUAGAUAUCAAGUGGAACACCAGUGGCGAAGGCGAGUCCCUGGACAACUCCUGACACUGAGGCACGAAAGCUAGGGGAGCAAACAGG
rnacentral:rRNA from 1 species